rnacentral:rRNA from 1 species
AACGAACGCUGGCGGCAUGCCUAACACAUGCAAGUCGAACGAGACCUUCGGGUCUAGUGGCGCACGGGUGCGUAACGCGUGGGAACCUGCCCUUAGGUUCGGAAUAACUCCCCGAAAGGGGUGCUAAUACCGGAUAAUGUCUUCGGACCAAAGAUUUAUCGCCUUUGGAUGGGCCCGCGUUGGAUUAGCUGGUUGGUAGGGUAAAAGCCUACCAAGGCGACGAUCCAUAGCUGGUCGGAGAGGAUGAUCAGCCACACUGGGACUGAGACACGGCCCAGACUCGUACGGAAGGGAGCAGUGGGGAAUAUUGGACGAUGGGCGAAAGCCUGAUACAGCAAUGCCGCGUGAGUGAUGAAGGCGUUAGGGUUGUAAAGCUCUUUUACCCGGGAUGAUAAUGACAGUACCGGGAGAAUAAGCACCGGCUAACUCCGUG